rnacentral:rRNA from 1 species
GAACGCUAGCGGCAGGCUUAAUACAUGCAAGUCGAGGGGCAGCAUGAAGUAGCAAUACUUUGAUGGCGACCGGCAAACGGGUGCGGAACACGUACACAACCUCCCUUUAAGUGGGGAAUAGCCCAGAGAAAUUUGGAUUAAUACCCCGUAACAUUGCGAUGUGGCAUCACAUUGCAAUUAUAGUUUCGACGCUUAAUGAUGGGUGUGCGUAUGAUUAGAUAGUUGGCGAGGUAACGGCUCACCAAGUCUACGAUCACUAGCUGAUGUGAGAGCAUGAUCAGCCACACGGGCACUGAGACACGGGCCCGACUCCUACGGGAGGCAGCAGUAAGGAAUAUUGGUCAAUGGACGCAAGUCUGAACCAGCCAUGCCGCGUGAAGGAUUAAGGU